UACGUAGGGUGCGAGCGUUGUCCGGAAUUACUGGGCGUAAAGAGUUCGUAGGCGGUUUGUCGCGUCGUUCGUGAAAACUUGGGGCUUAACUCCAAGCGUGCGGGCGAUACGGGCAGACUUGAGUACUACAGGGGAGACUGGAAUUCCUGGUGUAGUGGUGGAAUGCGUAGAGAUCCGGAGGAACACCAGCGGCGAAGGCGGAUCUCUGGGCCAUUACUGACGCUGAGGAGCGAAAGCGUGGGGAGCGAACAGG
rnacentral:rRNA from 1 species